UGGGGUGUCGCCAAGUGGUAAGGCUCUGGUUUCUGAUACCAGCAUUCCGGGGUUCGAAUUCCCUGCACCCCAGCCA
rnacentral:tRNA from 1 species